rnacentral:rRNA from 1 species
GAAAUAGAACCUGAAACCGUGUACGUACAAGCAGUAGGAGCACCUUCGUGGUGUGACUGCGUACCUUUUGUAUAAUGGGUCAGCGACUUAUAUUCAGUGGCAAGGUUAACCGUAUAGGGGAGCCGUAGCGAAAGCGAGUCUUAACUGGGCGCUCAGUCUCUGGAUAUAGACCCGAAACCGGGUGAUCUAGCCAUGGGCAGGUUGAAGGUUGAGUAACAUCAACUGGAGGACCGAACCGACUAAUGUUGAAAAAUUAGCGGAUGACUUGUGGCUAGGGGUGAAAGGCCAAUCAAACUCGGAGAUAGCUGGUUCUCCCCGAAAGCUAUUUAGGUAGCGCCUCGGACGAAUACUACUGGGGGUAGAGCACUGUUAAGGCUAGGGGGUCAUCCCGACUUACCAACCCUUUGCAAACUCCGAAUACCAGUAAGUACUAUCCGGGAGACACACGGCGGGUGCUAACGUCCGUAGUCGAGUCGGCCUGCGCGGAAGAUGUAACGGGGCUAAGCAAUACACCGAAGCUGCGGCAAUGUCUUUUAGACAUUGGGUAGGGGAGCGUUCUGUAAGCCGUUGAAGGUGAAUCGUAAGGUUUGCUGGAGGUAUCAGAAGUGCGAAUGCUGACAUGAGUAACGACAAAGGGGGUGAAA